CCGAAUCCACUGACAGGCCUUGAAUGGUCUGAUAUUGUUCUUUUGAUUUGCACUAGGAUGGGGGGAAGGGGGUCCCUGUACUUUCUAUCUAUCUUUGUAGUGGCCCAAUUGAAUAAGGGACUACAUCU